rnacentral:rRNA from 1 species
AGUGGCGGACGGGUGAGUAACACGUAAGAAUUUGCCUUUAGGAGGGGGACAACAGCUGGAAACGGCUGCUAAUACCCCAUAUGCUUUCGAGUGAAAUGGAUUUCCGCCUGAAGAGAAGCUUGCGGCUGAUUAGCUUGUUGGUGAGGUAAUGGCUCACCAAGGCGACGAUCAGUAUCUGGUUUGAGAGGACGGUCAGACACACUGGAACUGAGACACGGUCCAGACUCCUACGGGAGGCAGCAGUGGGGAAUUUUCCGCAAUGGGCGAAAGCCUGACGGAGCAAUACCGCGUGAGGGAUGAAGGCCUAUGGGUUGUAAACCUCUUUUUUCAGGGAGGAACAAAAUGACGUGUACCUGAAGAAUAAGCAUCGGCUAACUCCGUGCCAGCAGCCGCGGUAAGACGGGGGAUGCAAGUGUUAUCCGGAAUCACUGGGCGUAAAGCGUCUGUAGGUGGUUAAGUAAGUCAACUUGUUAAAUCUUGAGGCUCAACCUCAAAAUCGCAGUCGAAACUGCUUGACUAGAGUAUAGUAGGGGUAAAGGGAAUUUCCAGUGGAGCGGUGAAAUGCGUAGAUAUUGGAAAGAACACCGAUGGCGAAGGCACUUUACUGGGCUAUCACUAACACUGAGAGACGAAAGCUAGGGUAGCAAAUGGGAUUAGAUACCCCAGUAGUCCUAGCUGUAAACAAUGGAUACUAGAUGUU